UCAGGACUUGCGGGACUUACAAAGGUCUUUGGAGUUCUAUAGAAAAGAACUCUGCUUUCCAUGAAACAAGCCCAAGCUUACAACAGGUCCUGAUUUCCAUAGGAGACAUAUUGCAACAAUGUCUGACUUCAUGGAACCAACCAACCAUUCACCCCUGAAGAUAGAAAAAUGGAAGAAAUACAUGCAAUGGACUCUUGCUCUGUGUGAGCAAGCUAUAGACAUUUCUGGAGAGAUAUGCAGGAAUUGCAUCUGAUGAGAAUCACCAGGAGUUGGUCCCUCUGUUCUGCCAUUGGUCAAAAAUCUGCACCACUGGACAAUACUUUCAUUAUUUUACAUUGGUGAUUCAGCCAAGCUUGAUGACAACCAGACAGACAGAUCAUUUCUUAUCCAAUAGUGCCAGAAUAUCACUUUUUAAGGCAUUCUUGUCAGGUAACAGCUCACAAGGAGGCUCUUCAAUGAUGGUAGACACAGUAGUUAGAAUUUUUGAUUUCUGACUAUCAUGAGGUGUGUGUGUGUGUGUGUGUGUGUGUGUGUGUGAGAGAGAGAGAGAGAGAGAGAGAGAGAGAGAGAGAGAGAAUCUUUCUGUGAUGAACCUAUAUGUUUAUUAUUGUAUAAGUACCUACUCCUCCUCUCCCAUUAUUGAAGGGUAGACAUAGAACAGUAAGAACAGUAGUAACAAAAAUGAUGGUAAUAGUCA